rnacentral:rRNA from 1 species
GAUGAACGCUGGCGGCGUGCUUAACACAUGCAAGUCGAGCGGUGAACACGGAGCUUGCUCUGUGGGAUCAGUGGCGAACGGGUGAGUAACACGUGAGCAACCUGCCCCUGACUCUGGGAUAAGCGCUGGAAACGGCGUCUAAUACUGGAUACGAACCACGAAGGCAUCUUCAGUGGUUGGAAAGAAUUUCGGUUGGGGAUGGGCUCGCGGCCUAUCAGCUUGUUGGUGAGGUAAUGGCUCACCAAGGCGUCGACGGGUAGCCGGCCUGAGAGGGUGACCGGCCAGACUGGGACUGAGACACGGCCCAGACUCCUACGGGAGGCAGCAGUGGGGAAUAUUGCACAAUGGGCGAAAGCCUGAUGCAGCAACGCCGCGUGAGGGAUGACGGCCUUCGGGUUGUAAACCUCUUUUAGCAGGGAAGGAGCGAAAGUGACGGUACCUGCAGAAAAAGCGCCGGCUAACUACGUGCCAGCAGCCGCAGUAAAAC